AAACUGAUACAUUCAGCUACAAAAAAUAAACACCCUGGCAGUGAAUCAGAAAAAUAAUGACAAAUGCAUAAAUAAUACAUGCAGUUUGAGGCCUAAGACAGACAUGGUAGGGUUAUGGAGUGUGAUGCGGUAGAUGGAGGUGGUUGCCAGGCAUAGGGAGUGUGCUGCGGUAGGUGGAGGAGGUUGCCAGGCAUAGGGAGUGUGAUGCGGUAGGUGGAGGGGGUUGCCAGGUAUAGGGAGUGUGAUGCGGUAGGUGGAGGGGCUAUCAGGCAUAGGGAGUGUGAUGCGGUAGGUGGAGGGGGUUGCCAGGCAUAGGGAGUGUGCUGCAGUAGGUGGAGGGGGUUGCCAGGCAUAGGGAGUGUGAUGCGGUAGGUGGAGGGGGUUGCCAGGCAUAGGGAGUGUGAUGCGGUAGGUGGAGGGGGUUGCCAGGCAUAGGGAGUGUGAUGCGGUAGGUGGAGGGGGUUGCCAGGCAUAGGGAGUGUGAUGCGGUAGGUGGAGGGGGUUGCCAGGCAUAGGGAGUGUGAUGCGGUAGGUGGAGACGACACUAACAUGAACAUCAGCUGAACGCUUUCACUUUAUGUGCCCUUGUAAAAUGGCAUAUGUGUCGUGAUAUACACGCUGGUCACAUACUCGACUGUGGUUCUCAGUAUAGCAAUUUCAGA